AUGUCCUUGUGUUAUUUGCUGAUUGUUAUUAAUCCAAGAUCAGUGAUUGUCAAAAAGGACAAAUAUUAAAUACCAAUGACUCGUUAUUGUUUGAAAUGGCCCCACAAAGGUCUUUAAGCAUCUCCAUACAUUGGUGACAUUU
rfam:Musca domestica strain aabys unplaced genomic scaffold Scaffold18749, whole genome shotgun sequence.